rnacentral:rRNA from 1 species
UGGGGAAUAUUGGACAAUGGGCGCAAGCCUGAUCCAGCCAUGCCGCGUGUGUGAAGAAGGCCUUCGGGUUGUAAAGCACUUUUGUCCGGAAAGAAAUCCUGUCGGUUAAUACCCGGCGGGGAUGACGGUACCGGAAGAAUAAGCACCGGCUAACUUCGUG